rnacentral:rRNA from 1 species
GAUCUUUAUAUAUUAAAUAAUUUAGUAAAAAUUAGUUAAAGGUUAUUUUUAAAUUAUUUUUAUAUUAUAUUGGGGUAAUAAUAAAAUUUUAUAAAUUUUUAUUUAUUAAAUACAAUUAUAAUUGAUUAUUUGAUCCAAUAAUAUUGAUUUUAAAUUUAAGUUACCUUAGGGAUAACAGCGUAAUGAUUUUUGAGAGUUCUUAUCGAUAAAAUAGUUUGU